rnacentral:rRNA from 1 species
AGUGAACGCUGGCGGCAGGCCUAACACAUGCAAGUCGAGCGGAUGAAGGGAGCUUGCUCCUGGAUUCAGGGGCGGACGGGUGAGUAAUGCCUAGGAAUCUGCCUGGUAGUGUGGGAUAACGUCCGGAAACGGGCGCUAAUACCGCAUACGUCCUGAGGGAGAAAGGGGGGGAUCUUCGGACCUCACGCUAUCAGAUGAGCCUAGGUCGGAUUAGCUAGUUGGUGGGGUAAAGGCCUACCAAGGCGACGAUCCGUAACUGGUCUGAGAGGAUGAUCAGUCACACUGGAACUGAGACACGGUCCAGACUCCUACGGGAGGCAGCAGUGGGGAAUAUUGGACAAUGGGCGAAAGCCUGAUCCAGCCAUGCCGCGUGUGUGAAGAAGGUCUUCGGAUUGUAAAGCCCUUUAAGUUGGGAGGAAGGGCAGUAAGUUAAUACCUUGCUGUUUUGACGUUACCAAAAGAAUAAGCACCGGCUAACUUCGUG